UGAUUAACKUURCRCUGCUCCGGAUUMGCGGCGGACGAGUGAGUAACGCCUAGGAAUCUGCCUGGUAGUGGGGGAUAACGUCCGGAAACGGGCGCUAAUACCGCAUACGUCCUGAGGGAGAAAGGGGGAUCUUCGGACCUCACGCUAUCAGAUGAGCCUAGGUCGGAUUAGCUAGUUGGUGGGGUAAAGGCCUACCAAGGCUACGAUCCGUAACUGGUCUGAGAGGAUGAUCAGUCACACUGGAACUGAGACACGGUCCAGACUCCUACGGGAGGCAGCAGUGGGGAAUAUUGGACAAUGGGCGAAAGCCUGAUCCAGCCAUGCCGCGUGUGUGAAGAAGGUCUUCGGAUUGUAAAGCACUUUAAGUUGGGAGGAAGGSCAGUAAGUUAAUACCUUGCUGUUUUGACGUUACCAACAGAAUAAGCACCGGCUAACUUCGUGCCAGCAGCCGCGGUAAUACGAAGGGUGCAAGCGUUAAUCGGAAUUACUGGGCGUAAAGCGCGCGUAGGUGGUUCAGCAAGUCGGAUGUGAAAUCCCCGGGCUCAACSUGGGAACUGCAUCCAAAACUACUGAGCUAGAGUACGGUAGAGGGUGGUGGAAACUACUGAGCUAGAGUACGGUAGAGGGUGGUGGAAUUUCCUGUGUAGCGGUGAAAUGCGUAGAUAUAGGAAGGAACACCAGUGGCGAAGGCGACCACCUGGACUACAUACUGACACUGAGGUGCUAAAGCGUGGGGAGCAAACAGGAUUAGAUACCCUGGUAGUCCACGCCGUAAACGAUGUCGACUAGCCGUUGGGAUCCUUGAGCUCUUAGUCGCGCAGCUAACGCGAUAAGUCGACCGCCUGGGGAGUACGGCCGCAAGGUUAAAACUCAAAUGAAUUGACGGGGGCCCGCACAAGCGGUGGGAGCAUGUGGUUUUAAUUCGAAGCAACGCGGAAGAACCUUACCUGGGCC
rnacentral:rRNA from 2 species